GACGAACGCUGGCGGCGUGCUUAACACAUGCAAGUCGAACGGGUCUGCCCUGUUUUUUGCGGGGUGGGUCAGUGGCGAACGGGUGAGUAACACGUGAGUAACCUGCCCCUCACUUCUGGAUAACCGCUUGAAAGGGUGGCUAAUACGGGGUGUUCUGGCUGUGCCGCAUGGUGUGGCUGGGAAAGAUUCACUUUUGUGGUGUUUUGGUGGGGGAUGGGCUCGCGGCCUAUCAGCUUGUUGGUGGGGUGAUGGCCUGCCAAGGCUUUGACGGGUAGGCGGCCUGAGAGGGUGGGCGGUCACACUGGGAAUGAGAUACGGUCCAGACUCCUGCGGGAGGCAGCAGUGGGGGGUAUUGGACAAUGGGCGGAAGGCUGAUGCAGCGAAGGCGCGUGAGGGAUGGAGGCCGUCGGGUUGUGAACCUCUUUCGCCGGUGAAGAAUGUCCUGCUCUUUGUGGUGGGGUUGACGGUAGCCGGGUUAUGAAGCGCCGGCUAACUACGUG
rnacentral:rRNA from 1 species